ensembl:scaRNA
GGUUCAUGAUGAUUGGUAAAAGGUCUGAUGCACCAAAUGUCACAGUCCCUUCCUUGCCCUCGGCUCCCAGCAGCCCCCGUGUUUCCUGGCACAGUGCAGUCGUGUGCUGGGACAGUGGAGCAGCUGAUACUCAGGGACCCCGUUGGUGUGUGUUUGUGAGAGUGAACAGUUCACAGCCGACCCAGGUCCAACAUGAGCGCUUACUCAGGAGCUUGAUGAGUGGCGGCAGGGCGUGGCGGGGCAUGAUCUCAAGUUUUCAAUCUGAGACC